UACGUAGGGUACGAGCGUUGUCCGGAAUUAUUGGGCGUAAAGAGCUCGUAGGUGGUUGGUCACGUCUGCUGUGGAAACGCAACGCUUAACGUUGCGCGGGCAGUGGGUACGGGCUGACUAGAGUGCAGUAGGGGAGUCUGGAAUUCCUGGUGUAGCGGUGAAAUGCGCAGAUAUCAGGAGGAACACCAAUGGCGAAGGCAGGUCUCUGGGCAGUUACUGACGCUGAGGAGCGAAAGCAUGGGUAGCGAACAGGAUUAGAUA
rnacentral:rRNA from 1 species